CUUUUGAGAAUAAUUUAAGGUCUGGCCUGCCCACUGAGUUUUUAAAUGGCCGCGGUAUACUGACCGUGCAAAGGUAGCAUAAUCAUUAGUUUUUUAAUUGAAAGCUGGAAUGAAAGGUUGGAUGAGAAAAUAACUGUCUCUAUUUAAUUUUUUAGAAUUUUAUUUUUAAGUAAAAAAGCUUAAAUAAUAAUAGAAGACGAGAAGACCCUAUAGAGUUUUAUUGAUGAUUAUAAAGAUUUUUUUUGUAUUAAAUCAUUUCUUUAUUUGAGUUAAUUUGGUUGGGGUGAUCGAAAAAUUUGUAAAACUUUUUUUAUAAUUUUACAUUGAUUUAUGAAUAAUUGAUCCUUKAUUUGAGAUUAUAAGAUUAAAUUACCUUAGGGAUAACAGCGUAAUUUUUUUAAAGAGUUCAAAUCGAAAAAAAAGAUUGCGACCUCGAUGUUGGAUUAAAAUUAAAUUUUGGUGUAGGAGCUAAA
rnacentral:rRNA from 1 species